CUGUGAGAGAUUAAUAACCAGGGUCUAUUCUUCCACUCUAUUUGUUCUUCCUUUUCUUCUUUCCCUCUCUCCACAUAGUGUCUGUUUCAAUCGGAAAUCAACCCCACCCAAGGGCCAAGAUUUUCAAGGAAUAGAAGAAAACCAAACUGUAAGGGCGGUGAAAUUCUCAAGUGUGUCGAAGGGGUUGGGUCGAGUUUCUAAAAAUUGAUCUGUUGAUUGCAUGCAAAAUCCUUGUGGUUUUCAGCACUUCUUUUAUUGAAGUUGUGCAUGAAGAUGCCACAAUCGUUGGGCUUUGCAUUUCUUAUAUUCCUCUCUUCUUGGAGUUUAAAGAGUGUAUUUCUACGCAAUUUCUUGUUUUCAAUUUUCUUGAAUUAGGGUUGGAUUCUUGACAUAAUAUAGGGAACAAGUGAAUCUUGGUGCAGUACAAUUUGAUUACUGAACAUGUGAACUCUUUUUGUGGCAUGGUUUCUUGGUAUGAUUAGUUACCCGGUUCCUUUUGUUCUUUCUUGUAUUUUUCUUUUUCUCAUGUUUUCUUGAGGAGUUGAUCGAUUCUUUUUCCCUUUCUUGUUUUUUUUUCUUCUGUUUCUUGAGGACAACUUGAAUCUUGGAAAAUCCACUAAGGUAGUGCUUUUGCAGACAAGACUGUCGUGGUGUCCAUUAUGGUUGGAUCUUCAUGCAUUCUGGAGUUUUCAACACCUCUUAUCUUGGAGUUUUGCAUGAAGUUUCCCCAUUGUUAGGCUUCGUAUUGGUUAUACUCCCUGGUUCUUGGCAUUCAAAGAGGACAUAUUUUACUACUUUCUAUCCUUUUGGGAGGAAUGAAGAUGAUGACAGUUUGAUUGUAUGCCAAGGCUGACAUUAAAUUGAAGUUGAAGAUGUCUCAACACAAGAGAAGAAUUUUUCAUUCUGUGAGACGAGUUGAAGGACGUAUGCAGCCAUCUAAUGUUUAAGAUACAUUGUUGUAAAAUAGAAUACUUCGUUCAAGGGAGCUUUGGCCUCUCUAUAAAUUUGUAUAGUUUGUUGUAAAAUGAAAUGAAAAUUUUCUUCCCCCA